rnacentral:rRNA from 1 species
GACGAACGCUGGCGGCGUGCUUAACACAUGCAAGUCGAACGGUAAGGCCCUUCGGGGUACACGAGUGGCGAACGGGUGAGUAACACGUGGGUGAUCUGCCCUGCACUUCGGGAUAAGCCUGGGAAACUGGGUCUAAUACCGGAUAGGACCACUGCCUGCAUGGGUGGUGGUGGAAAGCUUUUGCGGUGUGGGAUGGGCCCGCGGCCUAUCAGCUUGUUGGUGGGGUGAUGGCCUACCAAGGCGACGACGGGUAGCCGGCCUGGGAGGGUGACCGGACACACUGGGACUGAGAUACGGCCCAGAUUCCUACGGGAGGCAGCGGUGGGGAAUAUUGCACAAUGGGCGCAAGCCUGAUGCAGCGGCGCCGCGUGAGGGAUGACGGCCUUCGGGUUGUAAACCUCUUUCAGCACCGACGAAGCGCAAGUGACGGUAGGUGCAGAAGAAGGACCGGCCAACUACGUGCCAGCCGCCGCGGUAA